AGUGCAAAGACCAGAAUAAACCCGAGGAAACCACCAGCCGAGCCGGGGCAGUUUCAGUCUCCACCCCAAAUGCAGGGCUGUAGCAGUGGCCAGGAAGAAAACCGCCCCCUCUGAAAGCUGUUUUUGUGACUGUUCUUUGGAGCAUUGUUCUAAAAAUGGGAAAUUACAUCUUUCUGUGCCAAAGGAAACAAACACCUGCAGUUAAAAGAAUACCUUCCACGAGGUGGCUUCAAGAGCCCCAGCCCGUUUUGGACGCAGGGCUGCUGCAGGAGUUCCACUUGGUGCGUUUCUUCACUUCUAAGGGGAUGGGGUGUGGGCUAACAUUUGUAACCAGGGUGGGCUUUGGCAACUGCGGGGCCCUGGUGGUUGUCUUAUUCAUUGAAUAAACAUCUAUCGAGCAUC